AGGGUAUCUUGCUGGAGAGCCCUACCUACCUGAGGCCUUCUACAGACCAGCCAAUUCUGAUGACUACUGCAGCUACUGAUGCAGCUUUCCGAUGAAUAUCACAGCUACUCUGUAGUAUUUUCAUCCAACCCAUAUUUUCCUCGUAAAUGCUUCCAAAUGGGAGCAACGGUCUAAACCAGGAAGAUGGAUAAAAGAAGAGGGAAAUGCUGCCAUUACCAACAGGCAGAAUGUGAGCAACUGGUGUUGGAGAAGCCACUGAGUGCUGCCUACAGAGUCUGGAGGAUGGCCCAAGCUUUCUGAAGCAUGUCCUGAUGAGUCCAUGACCUCACCCACCCCUUGCUAAAGUUUCUUUAGAUGCCUUCCUGGGAGGUGUGAUCUUAACUAUGGCUGUUGUAUGUAUAUGUUGUCCUUCUCAUGUCUAUUUUUUUAGAGGAGAUGAGGGAACCUUCAUCCAGACAGUAUUUUCCUCAGUCAUUUCUAACUUACUGUAGAUUAUCUAUACACAUUUUCACCUGUGAUAAAUGAUGAGAAGGACUAAAAAUCUCUCUAUAUGUUUAGCUUGAGGCUGCUUUCUGUCUGAAAGCUGGGUGAGGAAGUAUGAAGACCUAUAUCUCAGAUGCUGGAAUAGGGAAGUAACCCUCCUAUGGCCUUAGAGGAGGAAACUGUUUUGCUGCUGUCUCUUUUUUACAGUUCUCUUUACAUCCCCUUUGCAAAUCACCACAGAACCUUUUCAGCCUGUUUGGAUCUAGUGACUUUGUCUUCAGUAAACAGUGCUGCCCAAGAGGAAUAAAGAUGCAUGCCUAGCUUGGAGACUGCCCCCUAGUCUGUUAACUGGAGGAGGAAGGGGAUUGCCAGAACUUCUAUCAAGGAAGACCAGCUGCUGGCUUUCCCGUCUUGAAGAACACUGAGAUUUCUCCAAUUUGAAAUGUCACCUGGAAUCAGCCCUCUUUAAAAUAAGCAUUCUUUAUGUAUUUAACAAGCAGCAAAGUAGAGCAGGAAGCUUUAUUUUCCUUUGUAGGUUGGCAUGAAGGUCAGCACCUUCUGUAACUCCUCAACACAAUCCCAACAUUAAACCCUUCUUAGGAAAGGAGGAGACCUGAUGGAAGCCUGCACCUGGUAACAAUCAAGUCCCAAAAGAAUUCCUGAGCUUUUGGUCCCACUUUUUGAGAUGGGCAGGGGUACAUGGGGCUCUAAGAAAUCUCAAUCAUGGCUGCAGAACUUACAGCGGGGCAGAUCUAUUAGCGCAUGGCCACUGUCUGGGGAACCUCUGAAAGGAAAAGCAACUUUUAAACAUCUGUUGGCU